AGGAAGUAAACAAGCUUUUCCAGCAGAUGAAAGAUAGUGGAAUCAAUCCAGAUGUUGUCAUUUACAAUACACUAAUCGAAGUUCAUGCAAAGGCAGGUCAUCUUAAGCAAGCUUACAAGUUUAUCAAAUUGACUGCCAGAAGCACAAAUGCUACAGCUUAUCAUCGACACAAAGAAGACUGCCAGCAGAACUUAUCACCAUUAAGCUAUUUGAACGAAUCGAUUUGAAGUCAGCCUUAGCACAAGUAUUGACUAGUUGUGUGCUAAAUUCCCAAACAGAACACCAUGGCUAACAGUGCAGAAUAUUUGAACAAGAGCAGGAAACAGAGCUACCUAGACAGUGCAAAACAGGGCAGGCCAACAACUGCUCAAAUUGACUUCUUCAACAGCUCGAAGGAGCAUAAGUCUUGUAGCAGAAACAAGGCAUGUAAAUUUUCGAACAAAGCAGGAAAUAGAGCUGCCUAGACAGUGCAAAACAUGACAGCUUUCAACAGGCUGACAGUCCAAACAAAUAUUCCCAAAAUGCUGCAUAUUUCAACACAAUUCAUUGCUUGAAUCAGUUGUUUUUAGUAGCACGACAUAAUGGAAUUCUUAUAGAUGUAACAAUGCAGAUAACUUUUCGAGCAGGGGAAAAGAAAAUAGAGCAAAUCUACACAUAUACAAGCAGCGACACAACUGAGUUUCAACACCAAUUCAGCAUAACAAAGAACAUCAACAAGUAGACUGGAUUAUCAAUAGGCAGAAAACAAUACUUGUUUCCAGAAUGCUUUCGGGCUCCAACUAAGAAGAAUGUACUAAAUGUUCAUAAAAAUCACAACAUAAUAUGUCGCUAGAAUGAGAUUCGGCUAACAUUUUCACGACUACCCAAGCUUCAACCAAACAAAGCAAACUAAUGGAACAAACAACAAGAAUUCGAAAGUAAAAGCGUCGCAGAUUCAUACUCUGCUAGCAACCACAGGUUUCAUCAAAUGUAACUUAUCACGUCGACAAUGCAUAAAUUUUAGCUUAAUCAAGACUGAACUUCUUAACCAUGUUUUAAGCCGUCUAAACAAAGUAGUACAGGAGAGGAAAUGCACCUGAAUGCGCAAAACUUCAACUACUUCCAAGAGCAGAAUACAAGAAGGUUUAGUAAUGGAAAUCCAAAAACAAAGCAACAGCAGAGAAACAGGACUUAGCAGCCACAGAGGAAGCUCGACCAACAGCUCUCAACAGUGAUGAGCUCGCUUAAAUCAACUUCACUUGAACGGAAAUCAUGGAAGGAAAAUGGAACUUUUUUUUCUUCGAAUUUUCAGAGUUUUGGAAGCAAACUAAGAACAAGCAAAAAAAAGAAUUCGAAAAUAUUUCCGUUCUCUUUCAGAUAUCGAAAAGAAAACAGAAUGAAUAAAACCUAAGAAAACACAGAACCAAACCUCCAUUUUUUUCCUCUGAUUUUUUUUACCCCAAAAUUCUCUGAAAUCCUCCCUUUAUAAAAAUCAGAAACAACCCUUUUGAAAACAAACCUUUGAUGAAUGUGGGGCUUGGAUUCAGUGAAAUCGAUCCAACGCCUCACACUCAUCCAACGAAUCAUUCUCAGAACCUUCCAAUCGCAUGAUAUAUCUCACCUUCGAGCGAGUGACAGGAGGGGGAAUCUUUGGUGUCAGAACCGUUAAAAAUGGCAAGAAGAGAGAAAGGGGAAAUGCGUGGUGUGAGGUUUGAUGUUCACUCGCCAUGGAUUUUGCCUGAAUUUGGGGCUUGUUUGCGUGUUCUUCGGAGAAGAAGAACACUAACGCGUUGGGUUUG
rnacentral:lncRNA from 1 species